rnacentral:rRNA from 1 species
AUUGAACGCUGGCGGCAGGCCUAACACAUGCAAGUCGAACGAGUGGCGGACGGGUGAGUAAUGUCUGGGAAACUGCCCGAUGGAGGGGGAUAACUACUGGAAACGGUAGCUAAUACCGCAUACAAUGAGAUUGUCCAAAAUGGGAUUAGCUUGUGGGGGGGGUAACGGCUCACCAAGGCGACGAUCCCUACCUGUUCUGAGAGGAUGACCAGCCACACUGGAACUGAGACACGGUCCAGACUCCUACGGGAGGCAGCAGUGGGGAAUAUUGCACAAUGGGCGCAAGCCUGAUGCAGCCAUGCCGCGUGUAUGAAGAAGGCCUUCGGGUUGUAAAGUACUUUCAGCGGGGAGGCGUUACCCGCAGAAGAAGCACCGGCUAACUCCGUGCCAGCAGCCGCGGUAAUAC